rnacentral:rRNA from 1 species
UCGAGGAUCUUUAGCAAUGCCCGAAAGGGUGACUAUGCGACGCCGCGUGGAGGAUGAAGGCCUUCGGGUUGUAAACUCCUGUCAGAGGGGAAGAAUAACUACGCGUGAACAACGCGUAGCUUGACAUCACCCUCAGAGGAAGCCACGGCUAACUCUGUGCCAGCAGCCGCGGUAAGACAGAGGUGGCAAGCGUUGUUCGGAUUUAUUGGGUGUAAAGGGUAGGUAGGUGGCUUGGAAAGUCCGGUGUGAAAUCCCACGGCUCAACCGUGGAACUGCAUUGGAAACUUCCAGACUUGAGUACCGGAGAGGUGAGGGGAAUUCUCGGUGUAAGGGUGAAAUCUGUAGAUAUCGAGAGGAACACCAGUGGCGAAGGCGCCUCACUGGCCGGUUACUGACACUGAGCUACGAAAGCAAGGGGAGCAAACAGG